CAGUCGCCGCGGGAAUACAGAGGGUGCAAGCGUUAAUCGGAAUUACUGGGCGUAAAGCGCGCGUAGGUGGUUUGUUAAGUUGGAUGUGAAAUCCCCGGGCUCAACCUGGGAACUGCAUCCAAAACUGGCAAGCUAGAGUAUGGUAGAGGGUGGUGGAAUUUCCUGUGUAGCGGUAAAAUGCGUAGAUAUAGGAAGGAACACCAGUGGCGAAGGCGACCACCUGGACUGAUACUGACACUGAGGUGCGAAAGCGUGGGGAGCAAACAGGAUUAGAUACCCGAGUAGUCCCUGUCUCUUAUAC
rnacentral:rRNA from 1 species